GCCAGUAUGGCGUAAUGGUUAGUUAGAGUGUUGGACUAUGACUUUUGAGUCCAGGGUUCGAUUCCCAGCUCAGUCA